rnacentral:rRNA from 1 species
GGGAGGCCUAAUCUGCAGUCGAGCGAGCUUGCCUAGAUGAUUUUAGUGCUUGCACUAAAUGAAACUAGAUACAAGCGAUCGGCGGACGGGUGAGUAACACGUGGGUAACCUGCCCAAGAGACUGGGAUAACACCUGGAAACAGAUGCUAAUACCGGAUAACAACACUAGACGCAUGUCUAGAGUUUGAAAGAUGGUUCUGCUAUCACUCUUGGAUGGACCUGCGGUGCAUUAGCUAGUUGGUAAGGUAACGGCUUACCAAGGCAAUGAUGCAUAGCCGAGUUGAGAGACUGAUCGGCCACAUUGGGACUGAGACACGGCCCAAACUCCUACGGGAGGCAGCAGUAGGGAAUCUUCCACAAUGGACGAAAGUCUGAUGGAGCAACGCCGCGUGAGUGAAGAAGGGUUUCGGCUCGUAAAGCUCUGUUGGUAGUGAAGAAAGAUAGAGGUAGUAACUGGCCUUUAUUUGACGGUAAUUACUUAGAAAGUCACGGCUAACUACGUGCCAGCAGCCGCGGUAAUACGUAGGUGGCAAGCGUUGUCCGGAUUUAUUGGGCGUAAAGCGAGUGCAGGCGGUUCAAUAAGUCUGAUGUGAAAGCCUUCGGCUCAACCGGAGAAUUGCAUCAGAAACUGUUGAACUUGAGUGCAGAAGAGGAGAGUGGAACUCCAUGUGUAGCGGUGGAAUGCGUAGAUAUAUGGAAGAACACCAGUGGCGAAGGCGGCUCUCUGGUCUGCAACUGACGCUGAGGCUC